UACCAGACUCCUACGGGAGGCAGCAGUGGGGAAUAUUGCACAAUGGGGGAAACCCUGAUGCAGCGACGCCGCGUGAGCGAUGAAGUAUUUCGGUAUGUAAAGCUCUAUCAGCAGGGAAGAAGAUGACGGUACCUGACUAAGAAGCCCCGGCUAACUACGUGCCAGCAGCCGCGGUAAUACGUAGGGGGCGAGCGUUAUCCGGAUUUACUGGGUGUAAAGGGAGCGUAGACGGCGAUGCAAGCCAGAUGUGAAAGCCCGGGGCUCAACCCCGGGACUGCAUUUGGAACUGUGUGGCUGGAGUGUCGGAGAGGCAGGCGGAAUUCCUAGUGUAGCGGUGAAAUGCGUAGAUAUUAGGAGGAACACCAGUGGCGAAGGCGGCCUGCUGGACGAUGACUGACGUUGAGGCUCGAAAGCGUGGGGAGCAAACAGGAUUAGAUACACCGGUAA
rnacentral:rRNA from 1 species